rnacentral:rRNA from 1 species
UGGCUCAGGACGAACGCUGGCGGCGUGCCUAAUACAUGCAAGUCGAGCGGACAGAAGGGAGCUUGCUCCCGGAUGUUAGCGGCGGACGGGUGAGUAACACGUGGGUAACCUGCCUGUAAGACUGGGAAACUCCGGGAAACCGGAGCUAAUACCGGAUAGUUCCUUGAACCGCAUGGUUCAAGGAUGAAAGACGGUUUCGGCUGUCACUUACAGAUGGACCCGCGGCGCAUUAGCUAGUUGGUGGGGUAAUGGCUACCAAGGCGACGAUGCGUAGCCGACCUGAGAGGGUGAUCGGCCACACUGGGACUGAGACACGGCCCAGACUCCUACGGGAGGCAGCAGUAGGGAAUCUUCCGCAAUGGACGAAAGUCUGACGGAGCACGCCGCGUGAGUGAUGAAGGUUUUCGGAUCGUAAAGCUCUGUUGUUAGGGAAGAACAAGUGCGAGAGUAACUGCUCGCACCUUGACGGUACCUAACCAGAAAGCCACGGCUAACUACGUGCCAGCAGCGCGGUAAUACGUAGGUGGCAAGCGUUGUCCGGAAUUAUUGGGCGUAAAGGGCUCGCAGGCGGUUUCUUAAGUCUGAUGUGAAAGCCCCCGGCUCAACCGGGGAGGGUCAUUGGAAACUGGGAAACUGAGUGCAGAAGAGGAGAGUGGAAUUCCACGUGUAGCGGUGAAAUGCGUAGAGAUGUGGAGGAACACCAGUGGCGAAGGCGACUCUCUGGUCUGUAACUGACGCUGAGGAGCGAAAGCGUGGGGAGCGACAGGAUUAGAUACCCUGGUAGUCCACGCCGUAAACGAUGAGUGCUAAGUGUUAGGGGGUUUCCGCCCCUUAGUGCUGCAGCUAACGCAUUAAGCACUCCGCCUGGGGAGUACGGUCGCAAGACUGAACUCAAAGGAAUUGACGGGGGCCCGCACAAGCGGUGGAGCAUGUGGUUUAAUUCGAAGCAACGCGAAGAACCUUACCAGGUCUUGACAUCCUCUGACAACCCUAGAGAUAGGCUUUCCCUUCGGGGAAGAGUGACAGGUGGUGCAUGGUUGUCGUCAGCUCGUGUCGUGAGAUGUUGGGUUAAGUCCCGCAACGAGCGCAACCCUUGAUCUUAGUUGCCAGCAUUCAGUUGGGCACUCUAAGGUGACUGCCGGUACAAACCGGAGGAAGGUGGGGAUGACGUCAA